ensembl:lncRNA
AGGUAUAAAGCAGCGUGGUGCUGAGGACCUCUCACACCCUGAGCCUCUGGUCUAAAGAGAAAGACACAGCAACCACACAAGAAAUGGCCAAGAUCUCUGUUCCUGCCCUCACCCUCAUCAUGCUCUGCACUCUAGUGCUCUUCAGCAGUGAGGCUGCAGCUCUGCGCAGAGUUUCAAGAUGCUGCACAAGGUACUCCAACAGUAAAGUGCUCACAAAGGACAUCAAAGGAAUUUCAAUCCAAAAACGUAACGGAAAAUGCAAUAUCAACGCAGUCAUUGUUCACACUACAACAGGCAAACACAUCUGUGUGGAUCCUAACCAGAUGACCGACAUCACCGACAAGCUAAAGUAAGCAUCUGCCAUGGUCUCACAGUAACAGUAUUUCACAUUUUAGUUUUGGUCACGUUUAAAUUUUGGUUUGAUGACCACUUUAAGAAGUUAGUGUUGAAACCUGGGUUGUCUAAUGAAACUUAAUGAGAUAAAGGUAAGACUAAAUAGUUUUUUUACUUUGAUUUCUUCCAGGGCACAGCUGAAUGUGUGGACACACCAACGCAAUACUCAAUAAUUGUAUCUGUUGCAUGGAUGUUCCUUUCUACAAAAAAGAAAAUAUAUAUAUUUCACAUUGAAAUUGAAAACAUCAGAAAUUGUGGUUCUACACAUAUGUUUUUUCAUAUUAUAUAAGCUAUAUAUAUAUAUA